rnacentral:tRNA from 1 species
AGGGAUAUAGCUUAGUGUUAGAGCACAUGCUUAGCAUGCACAUGAUCCUUGGUUCAAUCCCCAGUAUCUCUG